rnacentral:rRNA from 1 species
UUGUAAAUUUUAAAUAGGGAGUCGGACCUGCCCGGUGAAAAUUUUUAACGGCCGCGGUACUUUGACCGUGCAAAGGUAGCAUAAUCACUUGCCUUAUAAUUAAAGGCUAGUAUGAAUGGUUUGACAAGGAUGUGACUGUCUCUUUAUAAUUUAAUAGAAUUUUAUUUCUAGGUGCAGAAGCCUAAAUAAUAUUGAAAGACAAGAAGACCCUAUCGAGCUUUAAAAAAAUUAAUAGAUAAGUUGAAUUAAUAAGUUUAAAAAAACUAACUAUUAUGUAUUUUAGUUGGGGCAACUGAGGAACAAUAAAAGCUUCCUUUAAUUUAAUUAAAUAUUAUUCAAAUAUUGAUCCAGAACUAUUCUGAUUAGGGAAAUUAGUUACCGUAGGGAUAACAGCAUAAUCUUUUUUAAGAGUUCUUAUCGAAAAAAAGGCUUGUGACCUCGAUGUUGGACCAGAGUAUCCUAAAGAUGUAGCAGUCUUUGAAGGUUGGUCUGUUCGACCAUUAAAACUCUA